GUCGGUUAGGUCUGACUUCUUUCGCUGUCAUAAUUUCCUCAGUUACAAUUUUACAAAGGCAGUUUCAAAGAGAGGGAGGAAAGAAUGUUAGGCUGGGUUUGCCCUGGGUUGGCCAUAUUCUUCUACCAAAGGACCCAGCUCUUGCAAAUCUGCCUUGUCUAUGGAACCCUCUGUCUCUGGAUUCUGAUAAAGACUACCCCCUUAACAUUUCAGGCCGAAGAGUUGUGAAGUUCUUCAUUGCAGAGAUGCCAAAGCCCGAAAAGUUAGAAGGUACGUCUCGUGAGAUAGAACAAAACUAGGAGUGUGAUACUUCGUGAAUGUCAAGAUCCUACAAGAGGAAUGGGGGAUUAUCAAGUGUGUCAGAUACUGUGGAGAGGCUGAGUAAGAAGAGAACAUAGAAGCAACCAUGAUAUGUCAUCGCAGGGGUCGUUGGUGACAUUGACAAAAAAUGAUCUCAGUGGUUCAGGUGAAAAGAAAGAUUGGAAAGUGUGACAAUGGACCCUGGAUGCCACAAUUAUGAACAACUUUUUAAAGACUUUUCUUUAAAAUGACCACCUAAGCAACAACAACAACAACAACAACAAAAUAUCAUUUUGUGAGUGGAUAGUCAAGGGAAACUUACUUUUGUUUUGUUUUUUAAAUGAUGAGAAUGAUACAAUGGAGAGGGGCAGAUUGAUGAUCUUGAAGGAAGAGCUCAUGAAUAGAAGACUAAAGUUCUCCAAAAGAGGACAUUGGAAAAAGAGCAUGGAAACCUGUGUAUGGAGUGGAUUGGGCUUAGGAGGAAGCAGGGACAUUUCAGUCUUUGACCUAAAAAGGAGAGCAGGUAGUAUGUAACGAGAUACAAGUGGGAAGGCAGAUUUAUUGGAGGGACUCUGAAGGUCUUCAUUUCUUCCCCUAUUUUCUUGACAAAGUGUGAAGAAAAAAAUCAUCAGCUGAGAUGGAAGGAAGUGGUUUCUCUCAUUACAAAAACAAUGAAGUCAUUGACUUUAAUAAAGAGCAGAGGUCUGACUGUUUUUAAGGUCGAACACUACAUUUUCCUUCCAAGUAAACUUGAAACUGUAUACAUGAUUCUAAAUGAUUGAAGGAUUAUCUUCAACCCAGAUGCUUGAUAGUUUUGUGUCACUUCCUACUGUAGGAUUUACGGUGGUUUGUGGAAGCAGGAAUAUACACCAAGUGACUUCACUCACACUUUUCUUAUUUUUUGAAUCAUUGGUAUUCAUAGCAAAUUUGGAGAACAGUCAAGAGAUAGUUCAUAUAAAGGUAGGCUGAGGUUUAAAAUAAAAGAGGUUAAUAUUUAUGUUUUCCUGAAACAAUGUUUAUGUACAAAUUGAACAAAGAAUCUAUUUCUGUUCUUAGACAUAAAAGAUUUUUUUAAAAGUUACAACUAGAAUAGGCUAGAUUCUUGGCAUCUAUUUUAUUUCCUUGCAACUACAGAAAAUCUGAUUUCCAAAGACAAAGAUGAACAUUGGUACUUGAACUGUGAUGAUUAUAUCUUAAUGCAUUUAUUUUUAAGGAUAGUUUCACUUUGAUAUGACAAUUUCAGACUGAAUUACGAGCCUAUGUACUAGAAUGGUCAUUUCUUACCUGCUGGAAAUUAAAGCAGUAUUAAAUUCUUGUCUUGAGGACACUGAUCAUUCUUUAAACAUCAGUGCUAUCUGAGGAAAACUACAAAUAGUACUGUAAAAAAACAAAAAGCUAAAUGUUAUUAUCUUUUGCAAUAUCUCAUAUUGUUCAAUUUGGUACAUUGGUAUUAAAGAUCUGUUCUUGGCCGGGCACGGUGGCUCACGCCUGUAAUCCCAGCACUUUGGGAGGCUGAGGCAGGCGGAUUGCCUGAGCUCAGGAGUUCUCAACCAGCCUGGGCAACACGGUGAAAUCCUGUCUCUACUAAAAUGCAAAAAAUUAGUCGGGGGUGGCAGCACGUGCCUGUAUUCUCAGCUACUCGGGAGGCUGAGGCAGGAGAAUCACUUGAACCCAGGAGGUGGAGGUUGCAGUGAGCUGAGAUUGAGCCACUGCACUCCAGCCUGGGCGACAGAGUGAGACUCAGUCUUAAAAAAAAAAAAAAAAUCUGUUCUUUAUUAUUUGUUGACUACAUAAAAUUUUUAGAUGUGCAAUUUAACUGUGUUUUGGUUCAAUCCCUUUGGAACUUCAUAAUGUUGAGGGCUUUCUUAAAAGGUAUUCCUAUAAUAAAUUUAUAAUAUGUCCAAUUUGGAUGAGACAACUGAUCCCUGGAAAUCUGUGGAGGUUACUAGGUGUAAUGUGAUAAAUCUUGGCCUCUAGAGUUAGGCAACUUUGAAUUCCAGUUCUGCUGUCUUCACUUACUUGAUUGGCAAUCGUGGGUAAAUCACUUUGCCUCUCUUAAAAUAAGUUUUCUCAUGUGCAAUAUGGGGAAAGUGGGGAAAAUAAUACCACCUCUAGAGUUGUGAGGAUAAAUUGAGGAAGUGAAUAUUAAACUCUUCUGCAAAGUAUCAAACAUGCCUUUUCAGUGGCAGCAAGUGCAGUACCAUAUGUGGAAAGCAUGCAGCUUUUUCACAGGGUAGGAGUCGUUCUCAGAUAUUUAAUUUCCUCACCUCUCUUGUUGGACUUUUCAUUUUUGAUUAUUAAAAGCAAAUUUUUUGUAAGGUGUUGCAAUUUACAUUUUAUUUCCUAGUAUUGCAUGAGUGUGUAUUUUAUCUAUCUAUCUAUCUAUCUAUCUAUGCUAGAUAUGAACCAUAAUAGUAAAAUUGACACCUGUGAAUUUAUCACCCAAUUAAUAAACUGGGAUAUAGCAAACACUGCUUCAUCAGCUAGGUGUCUGUUGCUAUUCCAUCUGGUAUUGUUUGAAUAUUUGUCCCCCACCACAAUUUAUUUCAAAACUUAAUUCUCAAUGCAGCAGUAUUGAGAGGUGGCCCUUCUAAGCGGUGAUUGAAUUAUGAGGGCUUUGUCCUCAUGGAUAGGUUAUUCAUAGGUUAAUGGGUUAAUGAAUGAAUGGGUUAUUAUGAAAGGAGACCUGGUGGCUUUAUAAGAAAAAAGAGACCUGAAUUAGCACAUGAGCACGCUCAGCAUCUUUCCCAUGUGAUACCCUGAGACACCUGGGGACUCUUCAGAGAGAUCCCAGCAGCAAGAAAGCUCUCACUAUAUGCACUCCUUUAUGGUCUUGCCUGCCUCCAGACGAGAACUGUAAUAAAUAAAUUCCUUUUAAAAUUACUCAGUUUCAGGUAUUAUGUUACAAAGAACAGAAAAUGAACUAAUACACCAUCUUUCUGCCUCAUGGUCGGGGGUGUCUUAAUUUGAAGUUUGAAUUUAUCAUUCUCCCUUUAAAAAUAAGCUUUCAUCAUAUAUAAAAGUUUCCCUAAAAUACUUUAUUUUGCUUUUGUGA
rnacentral:lncRNA from 1 species